UACGAAGGGAGCUAGCGUUGUUCGGAAUUACUGGGCGUAAAGGGCGCGUAGGCGGCCAAUUAAGUUAGAUGUGAAAGCCCCGGGCUUAACCUGGGAAUAGCAUUUAAUACUGGAUGGCUAGAGAUCGAGAGAGGAAAGUGGAAUUGUGAGUGUAGAGGUGAAAUUCGUAGAUAUUCACAAGAACACCAGUGGCGAAGGCGGCUUUCUGGCUCGAAACUGACGCUAAGGCGCGAAAGCGUGGGGAGCAAACAGG
rnacentral:rRNA from 1 species